rnacentral:rRNA from 1 species
UACGGAGGGUGCAAGCGUUAUCCGGAUUCACUGGGUUUAAAGGGUGCGUAGGUGGGCAGGUAAGUCAGUGGUGAAAUCUCCGGGCUCAACCCGGAAACUGCCAUUGAUACUAUUAGUCUUGAAUUCUGUUGAGGUUGGCGGAAUAAGUCAUGUAGCGGUGAAAUGCAUAGAUAUGACUUAGAACACCGAUUGCGAAGGCAGCUAACUAAGCAGAUAUUGACGCUGAGGCACGAAAGCGUGGGGAUCAAACAGG